rnacentral:piRNA from 1 species
UUCAAGGAAGCAGUGAGUUACGACUGUGC